rnacentral:misc_RNA from 1 species
GAUGAAGAACGUAGCGAAAUGCGAUACUUGGUGUGAAUUGCAGAAUCCCGUGAACCAUCGAGUCUUUGAACGCAAGUUGCGCCCGAAGCCAUUAGGCCGAGGGCACGCCUGCCUGGGCGUCACACGUCGUUGCCCCCCCAUCUACUCCUUCGGGAUUGCGGGGGGCGGAUGAUGGCCUCCCGUGCGCCUCGCCGCGCGGUUGGCAUAAAUGCCAAGUCCUCGGCGACACACGCCACGACAAUCGGUGGUUGCGAAACCUCGGUUGCCCGUCGUGUGCGGUCGUCGCGCAUCGAGGGCUCGAAAAAAUUGCCGGGCUCCGGCUCGGCUUUCAACGCGACCCCAGGUCAGGCGGGGUUACCCGCUGAAUUUAAGCAUAUCAAUAAGCGGAGGA